ACUUGCUCUAUCUGCGGGGUUGAGGAUGAGAGUACUUUCCACGCUCUUGUUUCUUGCACAAAGGCUCGUGCACUUCGUUUGGCGUUGAGGAAAGUGUGGAAUUUGCCAGGGGAAGAGGCUUUUAAUUAUACUGGGCCUGACUAGUUACUUAUUUUAUUAGACCAGCUAAGUUGUUCGCAAAGGGAGCACAUCUUGUUUCUUUUCUGGCGAGUUUGGCACUUAAGGAAUGAUUUGAUUUUUGGGAAAGGAAAAGAAACU
rnacentral:rRNA from 1 species